rnacentral:lncRNA from 1 species
AUGUUAAGCCUCAUAUAUAUACAUAUAUAUAUAUAUAUAUGUUGGUCUAAUGUACUUUUUUUUGUAAGCAUUUUUUAUAUAAAAAUGUACAUAUUCACAUUGUUAUAGCAAAAAAAAAUCUAUAUCAUGGGAUGAAGUGACAAUACAAGAACAAGACAAAGAAAGAGGCUCGAGAAUGAAAAUUUUAGAACCGAACACUCCAUUUAAUUUUAUUUUAAUGGAUAGUGCCUCAGAAGAUGAAACUUCUAAGAAUGGGGAUUCUAGAGGGAAUGUCCAAAAGAAUAACAUUGCUGAUGACCUUAUAAAUAAGCUAAACCAGCUGGUAGAAAAACAAGACAGUAAAGGUGUAACAACCAUAGACUUCAAAGAGAAAAGGAAGAAACAUUAUGAUGAAUAUAAGACGUUGCAAGAAUUAAGAAAAUCUGGUACACUUGACAACAUAGAUGAAGAGUUCAAGUCAGAUGCAAACGAUUCAUUCCUUGAUAAUAAUAAAAUUGAUGAAUUAUAGAAGUAAAAUAUAGAAUUUAAUAUUUAAAAAAAAAAAAAAAUACAGAAGAAUUUUAGCUAUUACGACAGAAGAUUAUAUACAUAUAUAUAUAUAUAUAUAUAUAACAAAUUUUAUUAAAACAAUAUAUCCUUUUUAAUUUUUAAAUAUAAAAUUUGCUGAAAUUGUUAAAAUGUACGACGAUUGUGAAAAACAAAUGUACCUGUUAAUAAUUUUCUCUGUAUAUACAUAUAUAUACAAUAUAUUACUUUAACUUUUACCUUGUUUUAUUAAACUUAUGCCAAUGCAAAAUAUUUGUUAAGGAGUUAUAUUUAGUUUUAAUUCUUUCUCUUUUUUUUUCUUGAUUUUAAAUAUAAACUUCAUUGAUUUUUUAAUUUUUAUAUAGUAUUUUCAAAAAUUAAACAACACAUAAAAAAAAAAAAAAAUAGGGUAAAAAAUAAUCAAACACGAUCAAACAAAACAAAAAAAACAAAAAAAACAAAAAAAACAAAAAAAACAAAAAAAAAUGCAAAAUUAAAUAAUUAAUUAUUUUUACGUACGUCUUUUUUUCUACUAUAUAUAACUUAACCUCAAUUACAUUGACAAAUACGGAUUUAUAUAAAUAAGAGAAAACAGGUUAAAAAGGAAAAAAAAGUCUUAAUUUUGUAACACCUUUGUAACUCUUUAUAUCAAUUGAAUAAAUAAAAAAAAGUAGGUUUGUAU